AGUGAACGCUGGCGGUAGGCCUAACACAUGCAAGUCGAACGGCAGCACAGUAAGAGCUUGCUCUUACGGGUGGCGAGUGGCGGACGGGUGAGGAAUACAUCGGAAUCUACUUUUUCGUGGGGGAUAACGUAGGGAAACUUACGCUAAUACCGCAUACGACCUACGGGUGAAAGCAGGGGAUCUUCGGACCUUGCGCGAUUGAAUGAGCCGAUGUCGGAUUAGCUAGUUGGCGGGGUAAAGGCCCACCAAGGCGACGAUCCGUAGCUGGUCUGAGAGGAUGAUCGGCCACACUGGAACUGAGACACGGUCCAGACUCCUACGGGAGGCAGCAGUAGGGAAUAUUGGGCAAUGGGCGCAAGCCUGAUCCAGCCAUACCGCGUGGGUGAAGAAGGCCUUCGGGUUGUAAAGCCCUUUUGUUAGGAAAGAAAAGCAGCAUGUGAAUACCCCGCUGUUCUGACGGUACCCAAAGAAUAAGCACCGGCUAACUUCGUG
rnacentral:rRNA from 1 species